rnacentral:lncRNA from 1 species
GCUUGUAUGUUCUUAGAUGGCCAUGACAUAUGUGGUGACUUACCUUGUUGCCCUGGAUCUUGAACCAGGUCUCUCCACAACUCCUACGCAACAACCAAUCAAGGUGCGUUUGAUAAUGCUCCCAGGAACAUGUGUUUCUAUUCUUUUGUUCCUAGAAGUAAAAAUAGAACAGAAACGCGCUUGGUAAGUUUUUUGUUGUUGGGAACUGUCGCGACCUAAAUUUUCAGGGGCAAUCCUAAAAGUUUAGGUUAAUGGAUUACUAAAUCCGAAGACUUGGCGCGGACCCUCCCAAGUCCUACCAAUCGCGACUUGAUAGAAAUUAAUCUAUUUAAACAUGCAAUUAUAUUCAAUUUGGAGCCGCCACUAACCAAUUAGGGUCGGUUAGAAACCCAAGUAAAGUAUGGGAGAAUACUUUACUUUUGCGAACCAGAGAUUCAGUAUGUCCGGGGACAUGAUUACGCUAGAUUAGUCUAACGCCCUUUCGGUACCUUUUAUUUUAAUUUCAAAAAUAUUUUACAGGCAAUGUUGAUUAAUUUUAACUUAAGCUACUAACAUGCAAAUGGUGGUCAUACGGGUGCACAAUCAAUAAAAUAACAUUCAAUAAAAAAAAAUGCUAAUAAAAAUGCAUGCCCUAAACAUGAUUUCUAAAUGACAUGGCACCUAAUUUUUCUUUUUUCUUUUAAAAAUGUUAAUUAUAUGCAAUCUUAAUUUAAAUUUGAUAUGCAUGAGUUUUACUUUAAUGACAUAUGAGAUGCAAUUCAUGUGACAUAAUUUAAAUCAUUACAAUAUGUAUGCAAUCUAAUUUACAUAACCCUAAAUAUGCAUAUGCUGUAUGAUAUGAGAUAUAUGACGUCGUAAUUCUAUAUGCAUGUUCUUUUUAUGAUUUUUUAAUGAUUUUUUUUAUUACACAUAUGCAACCUACACUAACAAUGAUGACAUGAAAUGAGAUUGAUUAUAAGCUAACCUAUUAACUAACCAAAUAAAAGACUUUUGUGUUUUCUUUUUUUAUUUGAAAUGACCUAGUAAUUUUUAUUAAAAGAAAGUAACGUAAUGAUUCAAAGCUAAUUUUUUGGCAUUUUUUUAAAUAUUUUUUUAUAUAUUUUUUUAAAAGAAAAUACUACAUAAUGAGAAUGUUAAAACAUUAACCUAUAACCCACUAAUUAAAACGCAACAUAUAAUGUGCACAUUACGAAAUCUAUAUAACCUAAAUAACAUUUUUUUUUUGGUUUUAUUAAAGGAAAAUCAUCCUAAUUCUACAUGAAUUUUAGAAAAAACUAAAAUGCGAAGCUUUAAAUAUGAAAUGCAUAUGGACCUAAAUAUCUAAAUUCUAGAUAUGACAUUUGAUGCAUGAUAUGUAGCGAGCAACUAACGAUAAUGCCCCCAAAAUGUGUGUCCUAUUGAAAAACCCAUCAAUGUAAAUCGACAACAUAUUAUUUUAAUGGGCAUCAAUAAUGCAAAGCAAUUCAAGAAUUUGCCAUGAAAAGUCUAAAUAAUCAAAAAUCUAAACCGACGUCUCGCGGCUCAAUAUUUUUGAUUAUUGUGACUUAAUAUGACAAGUUUUUAAUUGGAUAAUAAUAAUAAAUCAGAACAAAUCAAGUUAAAUUAAAAAAAAAACUAUUGAGUUCGAAUACUCAAACUAAAUUUAAUCUAAAAAUUUACCUAGUCUAACUCACAACCACCUUGAGGAAUGGUGAGGGAGCAACGGUGACCGAGCUAUGAUGGUGGUUCGCCAAGGGUGAUGGGUCCUGGUGGCCGGAGCUGGGGCUGUCCGUCGGAGGUCCGGCGAGGUAGACCUGCAACAAAAAAGAGGAUCGCCUCGGCAGUAGCUGAUGUCUUCGCUCAGUCUUGAGCGGAGGAGAAAACCCAGCAGCAAAGAGGUCGCUCGGGCGUGUAGCAGCUCGCUCAGGCGGAGGACUCGGGGC